UACGUAGGGUGCAAGCGUUAAUCGGAAUUACUGGGCGUAAAGCGUGCGCAGGCGGCUUUGCAAGACAGAUGUGAAAUCCCCGGGCUUAACCUGGGAACUGCAUUUGUGACUGCAAGGCUUGAAUUCGGGAGAGGGAUGCGGAAUUCCAGGUGUAGCGGUGAAAUGCGUAGAUAUCUGGAGGAACACCGGUGGCGAAGGCGGCAUCCUGGACCGGCAUUGACGCUGAGGCGCGAAAGCCAGGGGAGCAAACGGG
rnacentral:rRNA from 1 species